rnacentral:rRNA from 1 species
GACGAACGUUGGCGGCGUGCCUAAUACAUGCAAGUAGAACGCUGAAGGAGGAGCUUGCUUCUCUGGAUGAGUUGCGAACGGGUGAGUAACGCGUAGGUAACCUGCCUGGUAGCGGGGGAUAACUAUUGGAAACGAUAGCUAAUACCGCAUAAGAGUAGAUGUUGCAUGACAUUUGCUUAAAAGGUGCAAUUGCAUCACUACCAGAUGGACCUGCGUUGUAUUAGCUAGUUGGUGGGGUAACGGCUCACCAAGGCGACGAUACAUAGCCGACCUGAGAGGGUGAUCGGCCACACUGGGACUGAGACACGGCCCAGACUCCUACGGGAGGCAGCAGUAGGGAAUCUUCGGCAAUAGACGGAAGUCUGACCGAGCAACGCCGCGUGAGUGAAGAAGGUUUUCGGAUCGUAAAGCUCUGUUGUAAGAGAAGAACGAGUGUGAGAGUGGAAAGUUCACACUGUGACGGUAUCUUACCAGAAAGGGACGGCUAACUACGUG